rnacentral:lncRNA from 1 species
AAUUUUUACGAGGGUGGUGGGCUUGCUUGAAACACGACAGUGGGAAGAUGAAAAAGAGAAAAGGGAAAGGGGGAGUCGGUUGUGGGUUGAUUUUUUAAUUCUGAUGGUGGUGGGUUGGUGGCGACAAUGGGAAGAUGAAAAAGAGAAAAGGGAAAGGGUGGUGACUGCCGAGUGCCGAUUGGUGGCUGGUGGGUGUUGGAGUGGCUGUAGGAAAAGGGAUUAAGAGGGUAGGGAAGUGACAGUGGCUAAGGAUUAGAAGUGUUAAGUGACUAAGGGAGUCGGCUGCUGACUAGAGGAAAAAAAUCCAAAAAAUGAAUAUUUCUC